rnacentral:rRNA from 1 species
GAUGAACGCUAGCUACAGGCUUAACACAUGCAAGUCGAGGGGCAGCAUGGAGGAAGCUUGCUUCCUUCGAUGGCGACCGGCGCACGGGUGAGUAACGCGUAUCCAACCUUCCCCUUAGUAGGGCAUAGCCCGGUGAAAAUCGGAUUAAUACCCUAUGUUCUUCACAGCGGACAUCUAACGUGAAGCAAAGAUUCAUCGCUAAGGGAUGGGGAUGCGUCUGAUUAGGUUGCAGGCGGGGUAACGGCCCACCAAAGCGACGAUCAGUAGCCGGCCUGAGAGGGUGAACGGCCACAUUGGGACUGAGACACGGCCCAGACUCC